ACGUAGGAGGCAAGCGUUAUCCGGAUUUACUGGGCGUAAAGCGCAUGCAGGUGGUCUCGCAAGUUGGAUGUGAAAGCUCCUGGCUUAACUGGGAGAGGUCGUUCAAAACUGCGGGACUAGAGAGUGGUAGAGGGAGGUGGAAUUCCGGGUGUAGUGGUGAAAUGCGUAGAUAUCCGGAGGAACACCAGUGGCGAAAGCGGCCUCCUGGACCACUUCUGACACUCAGAUGCGAAAGCUAAGGUAGCAAACGG
rnacentral:rRNA from 1 species